rnacentral:snRNA from 2 species
AGCUUUGCGAAGUGGCAGUAUCAUAGCCAAUGAGGUUUAUCUGAGGCGCGAUUAUUACUAAUAGAAUGAUAUUUACAGUCUAAAUUAGAGGAGAAUAGAUGGAAGACAGAAAGUCAUAUGU